rnacentral:rRNA from 1 species
GAGAAUCCCGUCCACCGAUUGACUAAGGUUUCCAGAGGAAGGCUCGUCCGCUCUGGGUUAGUCGGGUCCUAAGCUGAGGCCGACAGGCGUAGGCGAUGGAUAACAGGUUGAUAUUCCUGUACCACCUAUAAUCGUUUUAAUCGAUGGGGGGACGCAGUAGGAUAGGCGAAGCGUGCGAUUGGAUUGCACGUCUAAGCAGUAAGGCUGAGUAUUAGGCAAAUCCGGUACUCGUUAAGGCUGAGCUGUGAUGGGGAGAAGACAUUGUGUCUUCGAGUCGUUGAUUUCACACUGCCGAGAAAAGCCUCUAGAUAGAAAAUAGGUGCCCGUACCGCAAACCGACACAGGUAGUCAAGAUGAGAAUUCUAAGGUGAGCGAGCGAACUCUCGUUAAGGAACUCGGCAAAAUGACCCCGUAACUUCGGGAGAAGGGGUGCUCUUUAGGGUUAACGCCCAGAAGAGCCGCAGUGAAUAGGCCCAAGCGACUGUUUAUCAAAAACACAGGUCUCUGCUAAACCGUAAGGUGAUGUAUAGGGGCUGACGCCUGCCCGGUGCUGGAAGGUUAAGAGGAGUGGUUAGCUUCUGCGAAGCUACGAAUCGAAGCCCCAGUAAACGGCGGCCGUAACUAUAACGGUCCUAAGGUAGCGAAAUUCCUUGUCGGGUAAGUUCCGACCCGCACGAAAGGCGUAACGAUUUGGGCACUGUCUCAACGAGAGACUCGGUGAAAUCAUAGUACCUGUGAAGAUGCAGGUUACCCGCGACAGGACGGAAAGACCCCGUGGAGCUUUACUGUAGCCUGAUAUUGAAAUUCGGCACAGCUUGUACAGGAUAGGUAGGAGCCUUUGAAACGUGAGCGCUAGCUUACGUGGAGGCGCUGGUGGGAUACUACCCUAGCUGUGUUGGCUUUCUAACCCGCACCACUUAUCGUGGUGGGAGACAGUGUCAGGCGGGCAGUUUGACUGGGGCGGUCGCCUCCUAAAAGGUAACGGAGGCGCUCAAAGGUUUCCUCAGAAUGGUUGGAAAUCAUUCAUAGAGUGUAAAGGCAUAAGGGAGCUUGACUGCGAGACCUACAAGUCGAGCAGGGUCGAAAGACGGACUUAGUGAUCCGGUGGUUCCGCAUGGAAGGGCCAUCGCUCAACGGAUAAAAGCUACCCCGGGGAUAACAGGCUUAUCUCCCCCAAGAGUUCACAUCGACGGGGAGGUUUGGCACCUCGAUGUCGGCUCAUCGCAUCCUGGGGCUGUAGUCGGUCCCAAGGGUUGGGCUGUUCGCCCAUUAAAGCGGUACGCGAGCUGGGUUCAGAACGUCGUGAGACAGUUCGGUCCCUAUCCGUCGUGGGCGUAGGAAAUUUGAGAGGAGCUGUCCUUAGUACGAGAGGACCGGGAUGGACAUACCUCUGGUGUACCAGUUGUCGUGCCAACGGCAUAGCUGGGUAGCUAUGUGUGGACGGGAUAAGUGCUGAAAGCAUCUAAGCAUGAAGCCCCCCUCAAGAUGAGAUUUCCCAACUUCGGUUAUAAGAUCCCUCAAAGAUGAUGAGGUUAAUAGGUUCGAGGUGGAAGCAUGGUGACAUGUGGAGCUGACGAAUACUAAUCGAUCGAAGACUUAAUCAAAUU